GUGCUUUCAGAGCAAGUCAGCCAAUAUUCAGUGCAUAUCGUGAAUCAUCAAUAUCCAGAAUUUCCAAUAAAGGUUACACCGGAAAAAAAUCUGACGCCGAAAAGUUUCGAUUUGGAUUCUCCCGACAGGACCAGACAUCUCUAUUAGUCAAACAUGUUAAAUAUUUAAAGGAAGAUGGCAGCAGCACAUAUCAGUCUCAGUCGAGCACUGGAAUUACACGAAGCAGAGACAAAACUUCAAAAACGAGCAGAGCAAGUUUUUACUCUGUUUCAAAUACAAACAGCAGUCCGGAAG